GGAAGAAGUGUUCGGCCUCAGAAAGUAACUUUCUGUAGGGAGAGGGUACAAACUCUGAAUGACUUCCAGCAAUUAUUAGGGGAUAUCAAUUGGCUGUGCCUGAUGCUAGGUAUUGCCAUCUACCAACCCACACACCUUUAUCAAACCCUCCAAAGAGAUUCUUCAUUAGAUUCUCCUCGGCAACUUACUAACGAGGCAGAAGCUGAGUGACAGUGUGUAGAACAGAUCCUUCAGCAACAACAUGCCUCCCGGCUAAGCACCCCUGUAUCUUUCUGGCGGCUAAAAAGGACCAACUCCAGGUAAACGUCACCCAUUUGACUUGUGACUCCUGUCAACUGGCGGACAUCUUGUUAUCCUGUUUUGUUCCAGAUUUUUGCUGAGAAGUAGUUACUGUGCACAUGUGUAGAUUUGCAGGUAACGUUUAAUUACUCGUGCUUAAUCUCGCAUGUUUAGGAUUUGGGCAUAAAGUACUUAAAGUCACUGUUUUCUGCUUGAGGGAAGUUGGUAUGUUGAAUAUGUUUAGCUUUCUUGUGGCAUUGUAACACUUUAAAUAUCAGUGAGUAAGC
rnacentral:lncRNA from 1 species